rnacentral:rRNA from 1 species
GUCAGUCUGUUUCCAUCUCCAAUGGCCGCCAUGGCCACCAACACUUCCGGCCCUGUUCCGUUCACGGACGUGGACGACGGCACGGUGCCGAAGCGCCCAGCCAAGGAGGAGUUCGGGGACCUCGUCGCAGCGCUGCCGCGCAAGCAUCAGGCCGGCCUGGAGCUGCGCCUGUACCAGGGAUUCUGGCUGCCGGACCACUGGGUCGCGGGCACCGUGGUCUUCCAGCGCCGCUUCGCCCCGCGCCCCGACGACGUGAUCCUGGCCAGCUACCCCAAGUGCGGCACCACGUGGCUCAAGGCGCUGGCGUUCGCCACCAUGACGCGCGACGCGUACCCGGCGCCGGCGCAGCACCCGCUGCUCCGCCUCAACCCGCACGACUGCGUCCCGUUCCUGGACGAGAUCUUCGCGGACGGGCAGGAGGCCAAGCUGGAGAGGCUCCCGUCGCCGCGCCUCAUGAACACGCACAUGCCACACACCCUGCUCCCCGAGUCGGUCAUCGCCGGGUGCAAGGUGGCGUACGUCUGCAGGGACCCCAAGGACAUGGUGGUGUCGCUGUGGCACUUCCUCCGGCGCCGGCAGCCGGAGCUCCCGUUCGCGGAGCUGUUCGAGCACGUGUGCGACGGCGCCGUGGCCGUCGGCCCGAUCUGGGACCACGUGCUCAGCUACUGGCGCGCGAGCCUCGCGCGGCCCGACAGGGUGCUCUUCCUCAGGUACGAGGACCUGCUGCUGGACACGGGGAAGCACGUCAGGCGGCUGGCGGAGUUCAUGGGGCGGCCGUUCUCGCCCGCCGACGAGGGCGCCGUGGAGGCGGUGGUGGAGCUGUGCAGCUUCGAGAAGAUGAAGGGGCUGGAGGUGAACAAGAAGGGCUCGGCGGGGGCGUACCACGCCAUGCCCCGGGACUCUUUCUUCAGGAAAGGGGUCGCCGGCGACUGGGUGAACCACAUGACGCCGGAGAUGGCGACGCGGCUGGAUGAGGUCGUCCGUGACAAGUUUCGCGGCACGGGGCUCGCGGCUCCGUGA